AGUGGGAUGGCUGAGAGUAAGUAGGCGAUAGGCUGUAAAUCUAUUUAGGAGCGUUAUGUUGCUCUUCCACUA
rnacentral:tRNA from 1 species